rnacentral:rRNA from 1 species
CCUACGGGAGGCAGCAGUGAGGAAUAUUGGUCAAUGGCCGGAAGGCUGAACCAGCCAAGCCGCGUGCAGGACGAAGGUGCCAAGCAUUGUAAACUUCUUUUGUCAAGGGACAAAAUCAGGCUCGAGAGUCUGACCGAGGGUAAUUGAAGAAAAAGCAUCGGCUAACUCCGUGCCAGCCGCCGCGGUAAUACGGAGGGGGCAAGCGUUAUCCGGAUUUACUGGGUGUAAAGGGGGCGCAGACGGCGAUGCAAGCUAGGAGUGAAAGCCCGGGGCCCAACCCCGGGACUGCUCUUGGAACUGCGUGGCGGGAGUGCAGGAGGGGCAGGCGGAAUUCCUGGUGUAGCGGUGAAAUGCGUAGAUAUCAGGAGGAACACCGGUGGCGAAGGCGGCCUGCUGGACUGCAACUGACGUUGAGGCCCGAAAGCGUGGGGAGCAAACAGGAUUAGAUACCCCGGUAGUC